ACCCGGCUAGCUCAGACGAUAAGGCAUUAGACUUUUAAUCUCAGGGUUGUGGGUUCAUUCCCCACGUUGGGCA
rnacentral:tRNA from 1 species